GUGUUAACACAUACACGUACAGUACGGUACACACACUUAGAAAGACAACGAUAUAUAUCACAUUCGGAAAGCCGUUUCACUGAAUCAAUCAGUACUCUAUCAGUCACUACUUUUUUGAAUAACUAUUAAUAUUUGAUUUUGUUUUUCAUUAUUCAAUUGAAAAACAUUGUGUUAAGUAUUUAAAGAACAAAUUAAACACAAGAAAGAGAGAAAGAGAAAGAGAGGACAAACGUUGAAAACAUUGAAAAAAAACAACUUUAGAGAGACAUAAGUCAUACACUCUAUUGAAUGUUCAAAUGCUUUCAAUUAAGUCUUGUUGUUGAAGAUAACUAAAGACGACAAACACAAAGACAAAGACACGAUAUUACUAUCAAUUGAAGCAAAUAUUAAGCGCUUUUUAUUUGCCAUUUUAGAAGACCAUUGAAAUUAUAGAGAUCUACUCAAACCUACAAAUCUUUUUGUGUGGACUGAGAGAGAUAGUUAAGGAACAGUACUUUCUUGAAAUUAACGGCACAACCAAUUACAUGUGAUAUCACCAUUGAAAUUGAUUAACAACUACAUCAACAAAAUACUUUAAGAGUUGACAUCAAAUCACAAUAUUGGCUGAGAAUUGCAACAAAAGUGUGCGAAAAAUCCCAAAUAAUAAACCUUUUGUUUGCCACCAAAAACAUCUGAUAACAUAUUGUUAAAUAUAUAUAUACAGUAUAAUCGUAUAAUACAACAAUAAAACACUUUAUUUAUAAGACCCAACAAAUAGACAAAAAAACUAAAAUAAAAGAUUUGUUGAACGAUUUGAAGAUACAAACCAAGAAAACGUGUUAACAAUAUUAUAUAAGUUACCUUUAAAAGUGGUGUGAAUUGCAUAAUAA